UACGAAGGGGGCUAGCGUUGUUCGGAAUUACUGGGCGUAAAGCGCACGUAGGCGGAUCGAUCAGUCAGGGGUGAAAUCCCAGGGCUCAACCCUGGAACUGCCUUUGAUACUGUCGAUCUGGAGUAUGGAAGAGGUGAGUGGAAUUCCGAGUGUAGAGGUGAAAUUCGUAGAUAUUCGGAGGAACACCAGUGGCGAAGGCGGCUCACUGGUCCAUUACUGACGCUGAGGUGCGAAAGCCAGGGGAGCAAACGGG
rnacentral:rRNA from 1 species